rnacentral:lncRNA from 1 species
AUGCCGGAGCGAGGGUCGACUGUCCGUCUGUCGCAGUCGGGUGGUGUGCUUGCUUCCAAGUCUGGAGUUGGCUGGUUCAAGCUCGUUCUACUGAGCGUUUCUUGCAUUUUAAAAAUGCUUAAACCGCUGGCAACUUUCUUCUACCCAGCACAUUCUCUCAUGGAAUGGCAGAGCAAGACCAACUUUACCCGCCUCUCCUCCGUGUCUCCCAUACGACAUGAGGACGUAAAUCAAGAUCUGGAUUUUCAUCUGGUAUUGGAUUCCUUCUGCCCGGAAGACUCCUUUGACGUUUCUGUAGUGUGGGUCAGCUGGUAGUGAAUUCGGUCAGCUUAUGCAUAAGAAGUUAAAAGCAAGAUCUGAUCCCUGGCGUUUUCCAGGAACUCAAAAGAGGUGUAGGAGGAGAGAAGCUCAAUUAUCACCCUGGUCUCCUGGAGUAUCCCAGGCACAGUCCCAGGAGUUCAGCUUUUCAUACUCGAGUUCCUGGGUCCUGAAGGCCUUUUUGGGGAAAGUACUGAUGUUCGUGUCAAGGUUGGGAAGAAAGGGUUUGGGAGGAACCAAGCAACAGGGAGGCAAAGAGAAGACAUCAACAAGCGAGGCAAGAACUUUCCACAGGCUCACACUGGAUACAGGACCAGAGACAAGAAGCUGGCAGUGUGGUGGGGAGGCCAUGGCAAUCAUUAGCUCUGGAGGCCUGAGGAGGACACUCUGAAGAGGAAAGCCCCGCGAUCAUCCGGUUUCACCCCUGUUUUCAUCUACUCUUUUCCUCAGCGAAGCCUAUAUGGGUUCCCGAUGUCACAUCGCAGCUACCGCAUUGGAGGGUUAAGAGCCGCUGACAAAUCUCUUUCGGGAAGGGAAGAAGAGUUCCAAACAAAAGAUCUACUACCCUGAGAAGCGGUGAAGUGCUCCUGGGGCCCACCAAGGCCACACAAGUCAAGGAGUGGAUGGCCUUGCCCCAGCUAUGGCUCAGAUCACCUUUGCAGGAUGACAUCUUGUUGGGAGAUGGUCAUCAGAGACAGGGCCAUGGAAGACGCUGUCAGGAGGAGGCACAGAGGAAAGGCUAUGGGAGCACAAAGCAAGAAAGUGGCCUUCUGCAAGCCAGGAAGAGAGGCCUCCCCAGAAACCAACUCUACCAGCACAUCGAUCUUGGACUUUUGGCCUCUAGAACAUUGAGAAAAUAAAAGUCUGCUGUUAAACCA